UGGGGAAUAUUGCACAAUGGGGGAAACCCUGAUGCAGCGACGCCGCGUGAGUGAAGAAGUAUUUCGGUAUGUAAAGCUCUGUCAGCAGGGAAGAAAUGACGGUA
rnacentral:rRNA from 1 species